UUCAAAACCCCUUUAAACCAAACAAAAGACUAACAAAACCACCACGCCAGUCCAAUGCCCCAACCACCGCACCUCCUCCCGUAUUCGCCGAUGGCUACCUCUGCCGGUGCUAAAACCCUAACUUCCUCCUCUACUUCUGCCGCUCUAUAUAACUUACAUCCACCGGGUUUCCUUCGAAGCUGAUUGAAGAGUUUGCCACUGUUGCUCUCUCGAUCAACUCCGCCACUGCGUUCAAGGACAAAUAGUCCGAUCAGUAUUCGGUCUUUGAAAAGGUUUGAAGGUUUUUUUGUUCGUUUAUUGUGUAUAUGUGCCCUAGGUAGAUUUGAUUGACGUUCGUUAGGGUUUACGUGUUCGAAUUCUUGUAAUCAAUGUUGUUUUUGAUCAUUUUGCAGGUGUUUUGUUCGUUUAUUUUGUGUUUUUGUGCCCUAGUUAGAUUUAUUUAACGUUCGUUAGGUUUACUUGUUCGAAUUCGUGUAAUCUACGUUGCUUUUGAUCGAUUUUGCAGGUUUUUUGUUCGUUUAUCUUGUGUUUUUAUGCCCUAGUUGGUUCUAUUUGGCAGUUGUUAGGUUUUACCUGUUAGAAAUUCUUGUAAUUGAUGUUGUUUUAAUCGAUGCUAGGGUGUAAUGUUGUGUUUUGUAAAAUAUGUGUGAAAUGAUGUUAGUAGUAAUCACUAUAAAUCUAAGGAAGAAGAAGAUCUAAUUGGUUGUAUGCUUCGACUUUAGGUAUGAGAGACGGUCUGAUGAGUAUUCCGUUUUUGGAAGGAGUUCUCGAGUUUGCACAUUUUUUGUCAGUUAUUUUGCGUUUUUGUGCCCUAGUUGGAUUUAAUUGAUGUGCGCCAGGUUUUACUGGUUCGAAUUCGUGUAACCGGUAGUGUUUUGAUCAGUUAUGUAGGGUAAUAUUGUGUUUUGGUGUCACCAUGGAUAACAACCGUCGGUGCAGGGACGUCGGACCGUGACUUCCCGGCGUACGUUAGUCUCGGCAAGGGGAGAGACUAUUCUGGUGUCUCGUUGUAUAAGGGACCCACACUGCCUGAUAAGAUGCUGCCAUUUGUUUAUGCUGGUAAUGCUAGUAAUUCCACUAGUGGUGUUCUGUGUAUGCCUGGAAGUUCCACACGGUUAAGUGGUUAUAUGAUCCUUUUGAAGUUUGUCAUAAUCUUGCGGCGUACAGGUUGAUCUAGUUCUGUUUUUGUUUCUUGACCAAAAGUUAUGUGGGUGUAACUCAACAAUUAGAUAGCCCAAACUGUUAGUAAUUUACAAUAGAUGGGGUCGGCUCGACUCACUUUUUGUUUAGUAGUUUUAGUUUUUUUAUUAAUAGUUAACGUGCCAAGUAUGAUCACCAAAGUUAUGUAAAAAAAACUGACCUGACCCGACCCGAACCAAAACAACCCUUUUUUAUAGUUGACCCGUUUUGACCCAUGACCCGACCCGAUCCGACCCGUUUGCCAGGUCUACUUAAAACUCAUAUUUAACCCUUUGACUUGUGAUUGUUACUAUUUAGGAAACGAAUGUCGAUUCAGAACUUAAACACUUUCAUGAAUUAGUAGCUCGUUUGAACAGUCGCAUCGUUGGAACUAAGGCGAUAGUCUCGGAGCUCUAGUACGUAGUCCCUUCGUUCUGAUUACAUCAAGACGUUUGCUCUUGAUGAGGCUGAUGAAAUGCUUUCAAUGGGGUUCAAGGAUCAGGUAUAUAUGGAUUGGAUUUGGAGUUGGGCUACAAUAUAGAUGAUAUUUUACUUGCUGGGCUCAGGAGGCUAGUUACUGGGCUGAAGACUAUUACAUGCUGUUGUUGGGCUUUGUGGAUCUGGUCAAGUUCUCAAGCUAGGGUUCCAGUAUAAAAGAGUAAAAGACUAUCAGCUGUAGAGAUCCUUUUUUCCAAAAAUUCCAGAUCGUUCAACUCUCGUUUUGGGGUUUCAUAUCAUAUUAAGAUGAAUUGUUCUCAUUAGUUUAAACCAGAGAUCAUAAUCUUUAUUGAUUCUCUUUUAAGUUUUGUAUUUCAGAAGAGUUUUGUCUUUUUGAACGAUUGAUCAUCAUCAUCUAGACUUCACGCCACAUGAGAGGUUUUAUGUUGUCGGAAGAUAUGCACCUGUCACAGAUACAAGAUCAAAGUUGCUCCGAUGCAUCUCAUCGGACCUCCUUCUCUCUCUCGCUCGUAUCUUUAUACCAAAAAAGUUUGAAGAGGUAGGGGGCUAGCUUCAGGAUGUUGAAGAAGGGAAUGAGCAAAUUAGGUCACAGCGGAUGUCAAUGGACUGGUAAACGGGUUGCAGGUCUCAACGUUUUCAUCAGUUGCAAGGCCUUUUUUGGCUCAACCUGGAAACUGCAAGAUCGUGGGUGAGAGAGUGCUGAACCGCCGUGAACUGCUGCUUCUAGAAGGAAUUUAGAGACUUUAAACGGCUGAGAUUAAAAGUUGAUGACUUUCUACGGCUGUAAUUAGCCCAAAUAGCAGUUAUAAACAACGGGAACAAUAUAAUAUAGAAUGGGUUGAUUGGGCUUAAUAUUUAAAUUAUAAAUCUUUUCGUAUGUAAGAAGUUUAGAAAAAAAACAUAAUGGUGUUGGGGGUUUAAAAUUGGUGUCGUUUAACAAUUUUCUAUUAAAUGUUAUAUUGUUA